AGAGAGAGAGAGAGAGAGAGAGAGAAAGAUCCAGAAACAAACACUGAGCGCUGACCGUGAGGAAGAAAGGAAGGAUCCGAAGGUUCCUCCAAUCCUUCUUACAUUCAACUUCAGGGAAACCCUUUUUUAAUUUCAGGGGAACCGAGUGAGGAGAGAGACCGACAGAAAGAAAGGAUAUGACAAAGAACAUGAAAGAAAGAAAUCGGCAUUAAACGCACGACGAAAUUCUCUCUUUCCUCCCUACUUCCUUCUUUUUGCUUAUUUCUCUCUAAUUUGAUCUUAAAUCUACUCCAUCUUCCCCUGAGGGAGCUCUCUCUGUUCCAAUAGAAGCAGAACAGGAAGCGUCCCUACCUCCUGAAUCCCGUUUGCGGGGGCUAAAUCAGGGUCCCUCUCUGAACAUCCUCUCCUCUUCCAUCAUGACGUUGCUGGCCUCUGAGAGGUCGCUUCUCAUCCGGAACAAAUUCCGCUCAGUCCUGCAGUUGAGGAUUCAGAACCGAAGACAGCAGAAUGAAAUCAA